UACGAAGGGGGCUAGCGUUGCUCGGAAUCACUGGGCGUAAAGGGUGCGUAGGCGGGUCUUAAGUCAGGGGUGAAAUCCUGGAGCUCAACUCAAGAAAUGCAUUCAGGACUGGAUGGCUAGAGGACCGGAGAGGAUAGUGGAAUUCCCAGUGUAGUGGUGAAAUACGUAGAGAUUGGGAAGAACACCAGUGGCGAAGGCGGGUCUCUGGGCCAUAACUGACGUGAGGAGCGAAAGCG
rnacentral:rRNA from 1 species